rnacentral:rRNA from 1 species
AGUCGAGCGGAGCCAGUUGAUAGUUUACUAUUGACUGAAGCUUAGCGGCGGACGGGUGAGUAACGCGUGGGCAACCUGCCCUCUAGCCUGGGAUAACAGCGCGAAAGUGCUGCUAACACCGGAUAUGCUCACAGGGAGACAUCUCCCGGUGAGGAAAGUUUACACUAGAGGAUGGGCCCGCGUCCCAUUAGCUAGUUGGUGAGGUAACGGCUCACCAAGGCGACGAUGGGUAGCCGACCUGAGAGGGUGAUCGGCCACACUGGGACUGAGACACGGCCCAGACUCCUACGGGAGGCAGCAGUAGGGAAUUUUCCGCAAUGGGCGAAAGCCUGACGGAGCAACGCCGCGUGAGGGAUGAAGGUUUUCGGAUCGUAAACCUCUGUCAUCAGGGACGAUAAUGACGGUACCUGAUGAGGAAGCCACGGCUAACUACGUGCCAGCAGCCGCGGUAAUACGUAGGUGGCGAGCGUUGUCCGGAAUUACUGGGCGUAAAGGGCGUGUAGGCGGCCUUUUAAGUCAGAUGUGAAAUCUCAGGGCUUAACCCUGAAACUGCAUUUGAAACUGGAGGGCUUGAGGAUCGGAGAGGGCAGUGGAAUUCCCAGUGUAGCGGUGAUAUGCGUAGAUAUUGGGAAGAACACCAGUGGCGAAAGCGACUGCCUGGACGACACCUGACGCUGAGGCGCGAAAGCUAGGGUAGCGAACGGGAUUAGAUACCCCGG